CUGAGAUCUUUACUUUUUCUUAUUUUCCUCAAAAUUCUUACGGUUUACGUUUUUCUUUGAGAAAUAACUCUCAACAUGGUCGUCUUAGCUGCGAUAAAGCUUGAUUUCUUGGCCUCCUUUUCUUUGGAUUUUAUUUGACACCUUCACCAAUGCCACACUUUUUUGAACAUAGGGAUUGCAUUUCUUUAGAGUCUGUACGAAAUCGAAAGAUUUUGAAAUUCAGAAAUCAAAGUCAUUUUGGGGUCGAUGCUCUCGCUAUGUUGGUAAUCUGAUGGGAAAGAAAUUGCACCCUUUCUUUUAAAAUAUAUUUUGUAGGUGACUCAGCUUUUGGAGAAAAAUUUCAAAGACGACUUCAUGGCUUUCGGAAACAUCCUACACAUCCUGUAACAAAUUUAUCACCUGUCCUAAUUACAUAUGAUCUCUGUUGUUGCCUUUCUUUUCAUAGAAAUACAAAAUGCUAACAAUUUCAUUCUCUUUGUUAUGAAAAACAAGGAAAAUAAAAAAUUAAUGGAUGCCUGAUCUCCCUCUCCCUCAAAUUGUCAAAUAAACAAAUAAUUGAAAUACUGAUGCUGUUUAACACACUUUCAAAGGUUAGUACUUGCCUGGAUGACUACUUAGAAGCAGGUAUUUUCAAUGUGUGAUUGUUGCAUAAUUUUUGUUUUCUGUAUUUAAUGUUUUUAUUGACUGUUUAAAAUAUUGAAAUUGCUUUUAUUAUUUUUCUGGUUAAACACAAAGUCAUUUGUAGGAAAUGCAGCUUGUACUUUUACCAUUAGACUUACUUUGUAUGUGACGUUAUUUAUUUUUGGGCUAAAUUUUUAUUUUAUGUUUGUUGAGUUUUUCUUACCAGUGUAUUACAAAAGAGGAUUUUGAGCUUACCAGAGUUACGCUGGUGGAUGUUAAAGGAGAGAUGGACUUCAUAUUACUGGUUUCUGCUUUCUUCUUCAUGAUUAACUAGUCCCCCCACCCCAACCCACUAUUCAGUUAUUGUAAUACUCGAGAAUAAGAAAACUAUAUACAUUGGUCAAUGUUAUGGGUUACGGGUAUCUUAUUUUCAUUAAUAACACUUUUGAUUGCCAUAGCAUACGGUAACACAAUUGGGUCAUCAGAUGAUAUCGUUGCUUACAUGUGAGUAGCCUUCCGGUAAAAAAGUAUCAGAUACAGUGUCACCUCAGAACUAAAGGAGAUACUCAGUUGUAUCAAAUGUAUAGCCAAAAGUGUAUAGUCUACCUCAUAAUGCCAUGCUCAUUAUCUGCACUGGACAUGGAGACACAGCAGUUGGAAUAGGUAAGUAGUAGUAUGGCUUUUAUAAACUGAUUGUUUUCCACUCUCUCUUUGCGUUUUCUUUUCCUCAUUUCUUUUUGGGUUAUGAGAGUGGACUUCAAAUUUUGUAUUGGCUAGUAUAAUGUUUUGAAGUCAAGUGAAGAAGUGCCACAUCAUACUACCUCCGUCCCAUAAGGAUAUGUUUGGUUUCCUUUUUUCUAUGUCCCAAAUUAUAAGUCACUUUCCUUAUUAAAAGUACCAUUAUUUAAUGUAGGUCUAAGAUGAAAAUUGUAAGAAAAUUUUAUAUUAUCAACUAUACAUUUUUUAAAUAUGAGUGAAAAUAGAAACAAGCUUAUUUUUAUGUGACGGAGAUGAUAUUAUUUAAUUUUCUUUAACGUUAAACUUAAAAUGUAAAUAAAAUGUUGCAUGAUAUAUCAAGAUGUUAACUUUAUGAUGCUUAUAAAAAUUUAGUACGAACCAUUAAUACGUCCAUGAAGAAAUAUAUAAGCUAAAUUAGGACUUUAAAGGGUUGUUUUAUUCCACUCAUAUAUGAUCUUCAACAUGCUAUCUGUGUAAAGGGUCCAUCAUGUGCUGAUCCAACUUGGUUAGAGCAGGAAAAUGCAACUUUUUUUCUCAGAUUUUAGCCUUUGUGAUUAAAACUCAGUAUGCGUUUAAUUUUAAUAGGAGCGAUGCUUUUCCCGGUUCAGAGUUCUUUGAAAACAGAGGAACUCUUGAAAUAAUGAAUGGCGUUCAUUGGACCAUGUGUACAAAAAAUUAAGCAAUCUGCAGUUUGCAUGGAAAUCUUGCAAGGAUUUUAUACAGCAUUUUCCUGAAUAGAAUCUUCUUUAUUUUUCUCUUAAAGCUGAAGCUAAUUCUUGAAGAUUACGAAAAAUCCUCUCGGAGAAAACGGAAACUUCAAUAGGCCGCGAGAAGCUUGUGAAAGCUUUGGAAGAGCCGCAGGCUCAAGCUGAAGUAGGAUUAUGUUUUGUUGGUCUCAAGCAUUGAAUUUACUUACAAUAUCUCUCUCUCUCUCUCUCUCUCUCUCUCUCUCUCUCUCUCUCUCUCUCUCUCUCUGUGUGUGUUAGGGAUAGAUUGUUUGGUUCAUUAGGACAAAUAUGUAAUUUGUCCAUUAUGAUGGGAACAAUGUUAGAAUGCUAUGAUAUGAUUUGUUGAAAUUAGAAGUUCUAUUUAAGAAGAUUUACUUCUUGGGUGUAACGCAAUUCCCUUGUGACUCAAAACUAUUAUCAUGUCUAUGUAAAUGUGGGACUACUAUUAGCACUUC